ACCGCGGUCAUACGAUUAACCCAAACUAAUAGGCCUACGGCGUAAAGCGUGUUCAAGAUACUUUUACACUAAAGUUAAAACUUAACUAAGCCGUAAAAAGCUACAGUUAUCAUAAAAUAAACCACGAAAGUGACUUUAUAAUAAUCUGACUACACGAUAGCUAAGACCCAAACUGGGAUUAGAUACCCCACUAUGCUUAGCCCUAAACAUAGAUAAUUUUACAACAAAAUAAUUCGCCAGAGGA
rnacentral:rRNA from 1 species